UCAGGGGUAGAGUAAGGAAGGAAGGGAAUAAACUCUUAGAUGGCAAUGUCUACUGUGUGACAGGCAUGGCAACAAAUGCUUUACCAGAGUAUCAUUUCAUCUGACCCGCACAACAACCCUGGAAGGCAGGUAUUACUAGACCCAUUUUAAAGUUGAAGAAAAUGAGGAUUAUACCUGUUAUGGUGAUCUGUGAUCAGUGAUCUUUAAUGUUACUAUUGAAUUGUUUGGGGUUGCCGUGAACCAAGUACAUAUAUGAUGGUGAAGUUAAUUGAGGAGAGCAUUCUAGGUAUGGAAGGCAGUCAGAGGAAAUGCCCAGAACAAGAGAUAGAGGAUCUUGUUUAUGGAACAUCGAGGAAUUUCAUCUCACUAGAUCAAAGAGUAUAUAUAAGAAGCCUAAAAAGAAAUGGUCAGUUUAUUAUAAGAAAGAACACUAUCCACAACCAGAGAAAGAACUGUGGGAGCAGAAACACAGAAGAAAAACAACUGCUUGAUCACAUGGUUCAAUGGGGAUAUGACUGGAUCCUGGUGUAAAUAUCAAUAAUACGGAAAUAGAUCUUGAUCAAUGACACAUGUAAUACCCAGUGGUUUUUGGCUACAAGAAGGGGGAAGGAGAAGGUGAGGGGAAAGAAUAUGAAUCAUGUAACCAUGGGAAAAGAUUCUAAAGUAAUUAAUUAAAGAAAAAAAGAAAAAAUAAUUUUAAAAGAAUCUUAUACUAUGUUAAAAAAAAUGGUCAGUUUAUACACGUCAGCUGCCCUCACAGCCUUCUUCAUGCAUUGAUGGGCUAUGUGUGCCUAUAACAGGCUGUGUCUUAGUUUCAUGUCUGCCUUUUCUUAACCCCCUCUUCGACACAGGAGAGCAGAAGAGGCCCAGGUCUGCAAAGGGGGAUCCGGGAACCUAAAGCUGUUUGUUAGCUAUUAGGUAAAUAGCUUUGAAGUGGCUUAUGGCCAGCCCUUCAGAGAUGAAAAAGGUGGUCUAGAGAAUGUUUGUCAUGGGCUAAAGCGAGGCCUCCCACAGAGACUCCAAGCUGAGCGACUCAAAAAUAAGUAGAAAGCAAAGGCAAUAUUUGAGCUGGAGAACCUCG
rnacentral:lncRNA from 1 species